rnacentral:rRNA from 1 species
GACGAACGCUGGCGGCGUGCCUAAUACAUGCAAGUUGAGCGAUGAAGCUUGGUGCUUGCCCCAAUUUGAAGAGCAGCGAACGGGUGAGUAACGCGUGGGGAAUCUGCCUUUGAGCGGGGGACAACAUUUGGAAACGAAUGCUAAUACCGCAUAACAACUUUAAACAUAAGUUUUAAGUUUGAAAGAUGCAAUUGCAUCACUCAAAGAUGAUCCCGCGUUGUAUUAGCUAGUUGGUGAGGUAAAGGCUCACCAAGGCGAUGAUACAUAGCCGACCUGAGAGGGUGAUCGGCCACAUUGGGACUGGGACACGGCCCAAACUCCUACGGGAGGCAGCAGUAGGGAAUCUUCGGCAAUGGACGAAAGUCUGACCGAGCAACGCCGCGUGAGUGAAGAAGGGUUUCGGAUCGUAAAACUCUGUUGGUAGAGAAGAACGUUGGUGAGAGUGGAAAGCUCAUCAAGUGACGGUAACUACCCAGAAAGGGACGGCUAACUACGUG